rnacentral:rRNA from 1 species
AUUGAACGCUGGCGGCAGGCCUAACACAUGCAAGUCGAGCGGAUGAAGGGAGCUUGCUCCUGGCUUCAGCGGCGGACGGGUGAGUAAUGCCUAGGAAUCUGCCUGGUAGUGGGGGAUAACGUCCGGAAAAGGGCGCUACUACCGCAUAAGUCCUGAGGGAGACAGUGUGGGCUCUUCGGACCUCACGCUAUCAGAAGAGACUAGGUGGGAUUAGCUAGCUGGUGGGGUAAAGGCCUACCAAGGCGACGAUCCGUAACUGGUCUGAUAGGAUGAUCAGUCACACUGGGACUGAGACGCAGACCAGACGCCGACGAGAGGCACCAGUGUGGUAGAGUGGGCAAUAGGCGAAAGCCUGGUCCAGCCAUGCCACGUGUGUGAAGAAGGUCUUCGGAUUGUAAAGCACUUUAAGGUGUGAGGAAGGGCAGUAAGUUAAGACCUUGCUGUUUUGACGUUACCAACUAAAGAAGCACCGGCUAACUUCGUG